GACGAACGCUGGCGGCGUGCUUAACACAUGCAAGUCGAACGGAAAGGCCCUGCUUUUGUGGGGUGCUCGAGUGGCGAACGGGUGAGUAACACGUGAGUAACCUGCCCUUGACUUUGGGAUAACUUCAGGAAACUGGGGCUAAUACCGGAUAGGAGCUCCUGCUGCAUGGUGGGGGUUGGAAAGUUUCGGCGGUUGGGGAUGGACUCGCGGCUUAUCAGCUUGUUGGUGGGGUAGUGGCUUACCAAGGCUUUGACGGGUAGCCGGCCUGAGAGGGUGACCGGGCACAUGGGGACUGAGGGACGGCGCAGACUGCUACGGGAGGCAGCAGUGGGGAAUAUUGCACAAUGGGCGGAAGCCUGAUGCAGCAACGCCGCGGGCGGGAUGACGGCCUUCGGGUUGUAAACCGCUUUCGCCUGUGACGAAGCGUGAGUGACGGUAAUGGGUAAAGAAGCACCGGCUAACUACGUG
rnacentral:rRNA from 1 species